rnacentral:rRNA from 1 species
GAUGAACGCUAGCGGCAGGCCUAAUACAUGCAAGUCGAACGAUAGAAGAGGGCUUGCUCUCUUCGAAAGUGGCGCACGGGUGCGUAACGCGUAUGCAACCUACCUUAAUCAGGGGGAUAGCCCGAAGAAAUUCGGAUUAACACCGCAUAAAAUCACAGUACAGCAUUGUACAAUGAUCAAAUAUUUAUAGGAUUAAGAUGGGCAUGCGUGACAUUAGCUGGUUGGCGGGGUAACGGCCCACCAAGGCGACGAUGUCUAGGGGAUCUGAGAGGAUGACCCCCCACACUGGUACUGAGACACGGACCAGACUCCUACGGGAGGCAGCAGUAAGGAAUAUUGGUCAAUGGAGGCAACUCUGAACCAGCCAUGCCGCCUGCAGGAAGACGGCCCUCUGGGUUGUAAACUGCUUUUAUUCGGGAAUAAACCUCAUUAUGUAUAGUGAGCUGAAUGUACCGAAGGAAUAAGGAUCGGCUAACUCCGUGCCAGCCGCCGCUGUAA